CCUACGGGUGGCAGCAGUGAGGAAUAUUGGUCAAUGGACGCAAGCCUGAACCAGCCAAGCCGCGUGCAGGAGGACGGCACUAUGAGUUGUAAACUGCUUUUGUACGGGAAUAAAGUCAGAUACGCGUCCCCUUCUGAAUGUACCUUACGAAUAAGGAUCGGCUAACUCCGUGCCAGCAGCCGCGGUAAUACGGAGGAUUCGAGCGUUAUCCGGAUUUAUUGGGUUUAAAGGGUGCGUAGGCGGUCGUUUGAGGCAGGUGUAAAAGCCCGGGGCUCAACCUCGGGCAUGCAGUUGAUACUGGCAGUUUCGAGUGGGGGAGAAGUAGGCGGAAUGCGCGGUGUAGCGGUGAAAUGCUUAGAUAUCGCGCAGAACUCCGAUUGCGAAGGCAGCAUGC
rnacentral:rRNA from 1 species